UACAGAGGUCCCAAGCGUUGUUCGGAUUCACUGGGCGUAAAGGGUGCGUAGGUGGUAGGGUAAGUCUGAUGUGAAAUCUCCGAGCUCAACUCGGAAACUGCAUCGGAUACUAUCCUGCUCGAGGAGUGGAGGGGAGACUGGAAUACUUGGUGUAGCAGUGAAAUGCGUAGAUAUCAAGUGGAACACCAGUGGCGAAGGCGAGUCUCUAGACACUUCCUGACACUGAGGCACGAAAGCCAGGGGAG
rnacentral:rRNA from 1 species